UUUUCUUCUCUAUCUCUUUUCUCUCUCCAUAUUCAGAACUCCGGCGAUAUCUCUUUGACGAUGAGCCUCCGUUAACUUAAUCGGCGAGACGGAACCGACCAUCGAUGAUCAAUCACGUAGACAAGGUAAGAUUUUCAUAUGGUUUUGAUUUUGAUUUAAGUUUAGGGAUGGUUGAGAUAGACAAAAUUAUAGUUUUUUGAUUUGGGGAAAAAUUUAGGCAUCUUUCGUGUCGUUGAAAUUGUGGUUUUCCGAUCACUUAGAAGUCUAUGUGUGCUGUUCUUAGCCAUUAUAGAACAUGAUUUAACUGUUUACCGUAUUUGAUUCCUCAGUUAUGUGAUUGUGUUUUCCAAGUUUUUUCUUGAUUUUUAUAUGUUUAUCUGGCAAUCUGUUUAUGUGUGAAUGGUAUCAGGAUUCAGUAAUCUUCUUAUUUAUUGGUGUAUCCGUGAUUUAGCCUUGCUGUAUCCAUGAUAUCUUCGAUUGUAUUAUGUUGAUUUAUCGGUAGUGUUAAUGUGUUAUUGUUUGUACGUAAUGUAUUAGCGGUUUAGUGUCUUUUCUUCUUGCUCAUUGGUUAUAUGUUUAGUUUCAGUUCAUAUAAUUCUGUCUCUAUUGCUCACAUUGGUUUACUUUAUUGUGAGGUUAAAUGGAGGACAGGGUCUUGCUCUCAACACUUCACAUUUCCACCGAGUAGUUGAAAGGACAAUGUAAAGGACAUUUUGCCAGCAAGGUUUUGGCCAUAUACGUCUGGUUUACAAACCCGUGAUGAUAUAAAAAAAAACACGAGGGUCCAUUUAAUUUGUUUUGUUUUCUUGUUUUGUAACCCGCUAAAUUUUCUGCACUAACGAGAACCAUAUAUUACUUAUAUUGCUUGUAAGCCACAUAUGUUUUCUAUUCUCCGUAUAUAAAUGUGUUGUGUCUAA